rnacentral:rRNA from 1 species
AACGAACGCUGGCGGUAUGCUUAACACAUGCAAGUCGAACGAACAAAAUUGGGGCUUGCUCCAAUUUUAGUGAGUGGCAAACGGGUGAGUAACACGUGGGAAUCUACCUAUCAGUACGGAAUAACAUUUGGAAACGAUGCUAAUACCGUAUAUUCUCUAAGGAGGAAAGAUUUAUCGCUGAUAGAUGAGCCCGCGUAAGAUUAGGUAGUUGGUAGGGUAAUGGCCUACCAAGCCGACGAUCUUUAGCUGGUCUGAGAGGAUGAUCAGCCACACUGGGACUGAGACACGGCCCAGACUCCUACGGGAGGCAGCAGUGGGGAAUAUUGGACAAUGGGCGAAAGCCUGAUCCAGCAAUACCGCGUGCAAGAAGAAGGCCCUACGGGUUGUAAAUUGCUUUUAAUCGAGAAUAACAGUAACUACGUGUAGUUGUAUGAAAGUAUCGAUAGAAUAAGGAUCGGCUAACUCCGUGCCAGCAGCCGCGGUAAGGUAGA